UCGAACGCACCUUCGGGUGAGUGGCAGACGGGUGAGUAACGCGUGGGAAUCUACCCAAUACUCCGGAAUAACUCAGGGAAACUUGUGCUAAUACCGGAUACGCCCUCCGGGGGAAAGAUUUAUCGGUAUUGGAUGAGCCCGCGUUGGAUUAUAUAGUUGGUGAGGUAAUGGCUCACCAAGGCGACGAUCCAUAGCUGGUCUGAGAGGAUGAUCAGCCACACUGGGACUGAGACACGGCCCAGACUCCUACGGGAGGCAGCAGUGGGGAAUAUUGGACAAUGGGCGCAAGCCUGAUCCAGCCAUGCCGCGUGAGUGAUGACGGCCUUAGGGUUGUAAAGCUCUUUCAACGGUGAAGAUAAUGACGGUAACCGUAGAAGAAGCCCCGGCUAACUUCGUGCCAGCAGCCGCGGUAAUACGAAGGGGGCUAGCGUUGUUCGGAAUAACUGGGCGUAAAGCGCACGUAGGCGGACUAUUAAGUCAGGGGUGAAAUCCCGGGGCUCAACCCCGGAACUGCCUUUGAUACUGGUAGUCUAGAGUUCGAGAGAGGUGAGUGGAAUUCCGAGUGUAGAGGUGAAAUUCGCAGAUAUUCGGAGGAACACCAGUGG
rnacentral:rRNA from 1 species